CCGCACGAGCGCACCCUUGUCCUUAGUUGCCAGCAUUCAGUUGGGCACUCUAAGGAGACUGCCGGUGACAAACCGGAGGAAGGUGGGGACGACGUCAAGUCAUCAUGGCCCUUACGUGUAGGGCUACACACGUGCUACAAUGGCAUAUACAGAGGGAUGCGAGACAGUGAUGUGGAGCGGACCCCUUAAAGUAUGUCGUANUCCGGAUUGGAGUCUGCAACUCNACUCCAUGAAGUCGGAAUCGCUAGCAAUCGCAGGUCANAAUACUGCGGUGAAUACGUUCCCGGGCCUUGUACACACCGCCCGUCACACCAUGGGAGUGGGAUGCAAAAGAAGUAGUUAGCAUAACCUUCGGGAGUGCGAUUACCACUUUGUGUUUCAUGACUGGGGUGAAGUCGUAACAAGGUAACCCUAGGGGAACCUGGGGUUGGAUCACCUCCUU
rnacentral:rRNA from 1 species